AUUUUUUGAAUCGUCUUUAUAUUUGAAUUCCAUGUCCUUUUUUUCCUCUUGGUAUAUUACUUGUAGUUACUAUUUUAUAUCAAAGGUAAACAACUAUUGCACACAGGAGUUAAUGUACGUGUAAAAAUUUAUUUGGACUAUUGGGAUCUUGUUUUAAUGAAGUUCUUGAGUAUGAACAUUUUCUUUUUGUUCCUUGUCAAGAUAUCUUCAAUUUAUAACUCUACCAAUGGUACUGGAUGUGCGGAAAGGUGAUUUCAUCUCAUAAAAGUCUUUGGUAUUUGAGUCCUAAGGAAAACUAGUUUUACUUCUGCAAUUGAUUCUGUUGGAGUUAUUGAAAUGAAACCAUAUUCGAGUGCUAGGAGAUGUUUCUGUGGAAGGCCACAGAGCAGGAGUGUAUGACAUGGAAAGCCUGAGAACCUGAGCCAGGGGUCACAGCAGAUCCCCUAUAAUUAUAGGUAUGGAGACAAGCUUUGGAAGCUCAUGACUUUUAGUAGGUGUGCAACUUGGAGACCUUACCUUCACAUGUCACAAGCUUAAGCAUCUUUCUUGGGUCCAUCAGUGACAAGAUGAAGGAAUUGAGAGUGAUGUGGAAAAUCAAAGGAUUUAAGUGGAGUGGGUAAAUGGAUGAGUUUUACAGUUAAGAUAUAAGGAGAAUGGGAGUUUAGAACAAUAGUUAGUUAACUAGAGGAACUAGCAGAUAGAAACAGGGGAAUAAGCAUAGAUUCAGAUUUCUUGUCAUUUGUAAAUUGAGUGUUAGCUCGUUGUGAAUGAGAAACCCUUGAAGGUGAGAUUUUUCUCUUAUUCCAUGUUCUUUUCACUCUAUUCAAUAAAAUUUUUCUCUUCUUUCCCAUUCCCAUUUCCGUCAGUGACAAAAAGGUAAUGUUCAAGCUUAAGGAGAAAAUUUACUGUAUAGAUAUAAAAUUUGCAAUAUUAUAUCAAACUGAAUGUUGGGAGAUGAAAUUUAAAAAAGUAAUAAUGUCAAUGUGAUGGAGAGAAUCCUAUGUUGAAUGAGAUGGUGUGCUAGACAUGCUAUCAAUAGUAAUGAAUGCAUUUGAGAAUAGUUGAGGUAGCACC